UAGCCUUACAAAAAAAAGCUAUGACCUGUCAAACGUGGGAAAUGUUCCUUUAUCUUAUACAAGCAGAAUCAACUGAUCAGAUCCAUGGAAAAUAACGUACCUUCAGACAGCACGCAUAAGAUAAUUAGAGCUGUAUGGACCCUCACUCCUCAUCACACAAACCAUCAACAGUCACACCACUCUGUCCUGUUCUGCUACUGGACGACCUGUUCCUAUAGUAACCUGGGACAACACAGAAAUUCUAGAAAAUUCCACAAUGGUCAAUGUCACCCAUCUCAAUGGUACUGUCACAGUCAUCAUAACUUUCACGCUGGCAGCAUUCAGUCUACCUGACAAAGACACCAGGGUUGUCUGUGUGGUGUCACUGUUCUCUGGAGGUGUCACCAAGAACGUAUCCAUGGUUAUUCCAGCUAGAACUCAAGCUUCAUUUCCUGGUGAGAAAUGGUUCUGUACAUGCCUACAGUAACAACCAACAUGCUGGUGUCAUUCUGAAGUACUGUCUCUGUAUGUUCUGUGCUAGGUGUACCUGAGGUCACUGAUGGUGACAGGAUCAGUGGUAAGUCAUUAAUAUAAUGACCACAACUAAUCUCUGACUCUUAUCUGUGAAUUGUACCAUUCUCAUCUUGUCAUCUUUCACAGUUAAGCCAACAGUAAUUGUUUCAGUGAUGGGUUCACUGUGUUUCAUUGCUGUGUGCUGUGGAGCUGUGGUACUGUGGUGCAAACUGAGAAAUACAAUGAGAAGGUAGGUUUUACUGUUCAGAUGACAAAGAGAAAAUACAGUAUUACUUUGACAUUGUUUUUGUAAGUUUGACAAUCAGUCUUUAGCCCAAAUUCCACAGCCCAUGACAUAGAACAGGAAGAACUAUCAACACUCAACCCUCAACAUGAUGACUGAAAUCCACAGGUCUAAUCUAACACAUAUUCAAAUGAGUUGCAUUCCUGCAUUGUUGUUCUAAUGUUACUCAUGUCACUUACAUACUUCAUAAAACAAAUAUGUGAAUUACCCUUAUUUAUACAGAACAAUAUGUUAAUUACCAUUCAUACGGAACAAUAUGUCAAUUGCCCUCUUUACACACAACAAUAUGUUAAUUACCCUCUUUACACACAACAAUAUGUUAAUUACCCUCUUUAUAUACAACAAUAUGUUAAUUACCCUCUUUAUACAGAGAUUUUGUUUUAAUUACCCUCUUUAUACAGAACAAUAUGUUAAUUACCCUCUUUAUACACAACAAUAUGUUAAUUACCCUCUUUAUACAGAGAUUUUGUUUUAAUUACCCUCUAUACAGAACAAUAUGUUAAUUACCUCUUUAUACAGAGAUUUUGUUUUAAUUACCCUCUUUAUACAGAACAAUAUGUUAAUUGCCCUCUUUAUACAGAACAAUAUGUUAAUUACCCUCUUUAUACAGAGCAAUAUGUUAAUGACUCUCUUUAUACAGAACAAUAUGAAAACGUUUCUAAAGGAUUACUGAGCGACUAUCAUACUGUCACACACACAUCUGUGGCACGGAGACUGUUGAGUUGUCUCCGACAGAUACUGACAGAUACUGAUUAGCUGACUGAAUGGUUAAUGACACACACAUAGUCCUGCGGGUUAUUGUAUAAAUAUGUUCAUAUGUAGCCUAUGUAAAUAUAUUAGCAGUUUGGUCAUGAAGAAACCCUAGAAGUGUAUGCUUCAUUCUUACAUUUGUUAUAAAUCUAGGUGUUGUAAUAUUAUAGCCUACACAAUGUCAUCAUAAUGUACUCUGUGGUGUGUUUUGUGUGCGUUUUCUUUUCAUUAUUCAAUCACUUUAUAAAUCACAUGCUGUAACAAUGUUGUAAUUUAUGGAAUUGUCAUAAAUCUGCUGCUGGCAAAGCUUAAACGAAUUGUCUGAUUCUUCUGCCACUCGAGACCAGCCAAUGUUGCAAACAAUUGCCACUAGGGGUCGCCUGAAUAUAAUUUAGGGAGAGAGGUGGUAGAGAAACGGUUUUGAUAGUUUUGCAGCGCUCAUGCAACAUCGCCAACAGCCUACCCAAGACAGUCCAUAGACAGUCCGCUAUAUAGGUUCACUUGACUUGCAGUCUCUGUUCUCUGACGCCACUCAUGUUGAGGCGGAACGCAUCACACCCGAUCUGUUCAGCUUUAAGACUUUUGAAGCAUAGAUUUGAUAGUCGAAUUGUAGAAUAGUGUGUUAUUGCAGAGGACGGAAUUAAAUAAAUCCAAAUAACUCCAUGUACUGCUCAACGGGUAAGUCUUUUUUUUUUUUUUUAACCUGUAUUCAUUUGCUAUAGGGCCCAGUUAAAAUUAAACAUUGUGUUCUGUUUCAUAUGCAUAUAAAUACGUUCAUAAUAACGUUGUCUAUAUUGCAUUAUUUUCUAAAGGUGGGAGAAGUCUGUAGGGUUAGCCUAUACAUUACGUCAGUGGUGUAAAGUAGCCUACUUAAGUAAAAACACUUUAAAGUAUUACUUAAGCCGUUUAUUUUGGGUAUAUGUACUUUAUAAAUCUUUUUUUUUUUUUUUUUUUUACUUUUACUGCUCAGGCAGGACAGGAUUAUGAUCCAGUUCACGCACCUAUGAAUAUAACGCGUUGUCUUCCCUACUGCCUCUGAUCUGGCGGACUCACUAAACAGAAAUACUGCGUUUGUCAAUGAUGUCUGAGUGUUGGUCUGCCCAUGACUGUCCGUAAAAAACAAACAAAAAAUCGUGCCUUCUGGUUUGCUUAAUAUAAGGAUUUUGAUGUAUAGCAUUUACUUUUACUCAAGUAUGACACUACUGUACACUCAAGUAGUAUUUUACAUGGCGACUUUUAUUUUUACUUGAGUAAUUUUCUAUUAAAACAUCUUUACGUUUACUCAAGUAUGAUCAUUUAGUAUUUUCCCACCACAGCAUUACGUUAAUAAUAUUGUUAUAACAAUUGUUUAUAUCAUGUUUAUAUAUUUUUGUAUCCCAGUGCAGUUUUUAAUCAAGGAUUAUGUUAAAUAUAGCAUCAUAUUGAAGUUGGAUGAAAUUGUAUUUUGUGCAAUUGCCUUUUUUUGACUAGGACCUCAUUCAACUCAUGUGGAUAAUCUUUUAGCCUACAUAUUGCUAGUAGGCUUAUCUCAACCUUUUAUUGAAUUAAUAUCGUCAAUGUAUCACCUUAUAUGCUCAAUAGACCCCCCUUUCCCCUCCAAAACAAUGUCCUAUUAUAAUCAAAUUGCCUAAUCAUGGUAGUGAAUCCAUCAACAGAACAAUUCCAGAAAACCCAUAGGUUGGUACAUCAACUGAACAAGCCUUAACAGGCUCUGUACUCCUCAAAUGCCUACAUUGAAUCAAGUCUGGUGAUCUAAUCACAUAGAAUGUCUGGACUCCCCAGUCUUUGAUUUGGACAUUAGGGAGUCCACACACCUUGUUACUGACAACUAAACAAACAGCUGUUGAAGAUGUUAACGCUCUGCACACACCUGCACACUGUUUGGCCCUUGAGGACCAGUGUACUCUAACAUGUUCCGUUCUUGUAUAGGCCUACUGCCUGUGAAAGGCCAGGUUUUCCUUUACUCCGUGGCAAUGAGGUUGACCUUUAAGUUUGUUGGCUGUGCCAUGCACCCUUUGAUAUGGAAUCAGUCAAACAUGGCCCAGUAAUAAUCUAUGCCAUGAUAUUCAGUGAAAUCCAAGUCAGUUUGAUACAGGAAUGGAGUUUCUGUGUCAUGUUUUUCAAAGAGAUGCCUGAAGGGCAUGGAUUCGAGGGUCUGUUAUGGGACUGUUUCAUCUUGAAAUACUGGUUUCUAUGUUUACAUUCACUCCAUAUACUAUGUUUUAUUAACAAUAAGAUGUCAGAACUACUUUUUUAAUGUGUAUAGUGGAAAAAGAGAGGAGCCGUUUUAAACUUUGCCCAACGGGCAGACGGC
rnacentral:lncRNA from 8 species